UUCCCUACUUACAGUAAGUAGUAGUACUACGAUACUACUGUGAUUGCUUUCAAGAAGUUCGCCUCAUUCAUUCGUGAUUACAGAAGAAGACAAAUGAAAAAUAAUACAUUAACACAAAAAGUAAAAAAAAAAAA
rnacentral:rRNA from 14 species